CUGCCCAAUGAGGAUUUAAAUGGCCGCGGUACUUUGACCGUGCAAAGGUAGCAUAAUCAAUAGUUUCUUAAUUGGAAGCUGGUAUGAAAGGUUGGAUGAGAAAAUAACUGUCUCUGUUUAAAUUUUUUAGAAUUUUAUUUUUAAGUAAAAAAGCUUAAAUUUUAAUAGAAGACGAGAAGACCCUAUAGAGUUUUAUAGAUUUUAGUUUAAAAAGUCUUUAGAAUUAAUAAAUUUUUAAAUUAGUGUUUAUUUAGUUGGGGUGAUUGAAAAAUUAAAAAAACUUUUUUUUAUUAUUAUAACAUUAAUAUAUGAGUAAAUGAUCCUUAAUUUAAGAUUAAAAGAAAAAAUUACCUUAGGGAUAACAGCGUAAUUUUUUUAAAGAGUUCAAAUCGAAAAAAAAGAUUGCGACCUCGAUGUUGGAUUAAAAUAAAAUUUUGGUGUAGGGGCUAAAGUAUUUGGGUCUGUUCGACCCUUAAAAUUUUACAUGAUCUGAGUUUAAACCGGCGU
rnacentral:rRNA from 1 species